GGCGUGCCUUAAGCAUGCAAGUAGAACGGUUCUGCUUCGGCAGGAUAGUUGCGAACGGCUGAGUAAUACGUAAGAAUCUACCCCAUGGUGUGGAAUACCCAUCCGAAAGGAUGGUUAAUACCGCAUAAGCUGCAUCCAAUAACAUGGAUGCAGGAAAGCACGUAACUGUGCGCCAAGGGAGGAGCUUGCGGCCCAUCAGCUUGUUGGUAGGGUAAUGGCCUACCAAGGCUACGACGGGUAGGGGAUGUGAGAGCAUGUUCCCCCAGAAUGGGACUGAGACACGGCCCAUACACCUACGGGUGGCAGCAACUGGGAAUAGUGCGCAAUGGACGAAAGUCUGACGCCGCGACGCCGCGUGUGGGAUGACGGCCUUCGGGUUGUAAACCACUUUUGCCAGAAGGGAGACCGACUGGAGAAUAAGCACCCGCUAACUACGUGCCAGCAGCUGCGGUAAUACGUAGGGUGCAAGCGUUACCCGGAUUUAUUGGGCGUAAAGCGUCCGUAGGCUUUUUUGUAAGUUAUGUCUCAAAGACUAGGGCUCAACCUUGGGAAGGGGCAUAAUACUGCAAGAAUUGAAAUACCUAGGGGUUACUGGAACUUGCUAUGUAGGAGUGAAAUCCGUUGAUAUGGCAAGGAACGCCAAGAGCGAAGGCAGGUAACUGGAGGUUAUUUAACGCUGAGGGACGAAAGCUAGGGGAGCGAAAGGGAUUAGAGACCCCUGUAGUCCUAGCCGUAAACGAUGCUCGCUAGGGGUGGGAAUGUAUUUUUCCGUCCCGUAAGCUAACGCGUUAAGCGAGCCGCCUGGGGAGUACGACCGCAAGGUUAAAACUCAAAGGAAUUGACGGGGACCCGCACAACCAGUGGAGCAUGUGGUUUAAUUCGAGACGGACCGAAGAACCUUACCUGGACUUGACAUUCUACCGUUUAGUUUUGCAGAAAUGUGAGACGAUCCUAAAUUUUUAGGAAGGUAGAACAGGUGUUGCAUGGCUGUCGUCAGCUCGUGCCGUGGGGUGUUCCCUUCAGUGGGGUAACGAGCGCAACCCCUGUCGUAUGUUAAAUUGUUCAUACGAGACUGCCGAGUUUAACUCGGAGGAAGUGGGGAUGACGUCAAGUCAGCAUGGCCCUUAUGUCCAGGGCUACACACAUGCUACAAUGGAGCCGACAAUGGGUUGCCAAGCAGUAAUGCGGAGCUAAUCCCAUCAAACGGCUUCUCAGUGGGGAUUGAGGGCUGCAAUUCGCCCUCAUGAACGUGGAAUUGGUAGUAAUCGCGGAUCAGCCAAGCCGCGGUGAAUACGUUCUCGGGUCUUGUACACACCGCCCGUCAAGUUAGUGAAGUUGGGAACACCCGAACCUCGGUGUAUACCGGGGGAAGGUGAAUCCAGCGAC
rnacentral:rRNA from 1 species